CCUACGGGUGGCUGCAGUGGGGAAUAUUGGACAAUGGGGGGAACCCUGAUCCAGCCAUGCCGCGUGUGUGAAGAAGGCCCUCGGGUUGUAAAGCACUUUCAGUGAGGAAGAACGCCUGGUGGUUAAUACCCAUCAGGAAAGACAUCACUCACAGAAGAAGCACCGGCUAACUCCGUGCCAGCAGCCGCGGUAAUACGGAGGGUGCGAGCGUUAAUCGGAAUUACUGGGCGUAAAGCGCGCGUAGGUGGCUUGAUAAGCCGGUUGUGAAAGCCCCGGGGCCAACCUGGGAACGGCAUCCGGAACUGUCAAGCUAGAGUGCAGGAGAGGAAGGUAGAAUUCCCGGUGUAGCGGUGAAAUGCGUAGAGAUCGGGAGGAAUACCAGUGGCGAAGGCGGCCUUCUGGACUGACACUGACACUGAGGUGCGAAAGCGUGGGUAGCAAACAGGAUUAGAUACCCUAGUAGUC
rnacentral:rRNA from 1 species